AGGCAUUCCCCGUGCACUCCCUGCCGCCCGCCCUGACCCGCACGCCCCCGCAGCUGUAACCUGACGUGCUCCGCGGGGUUCCACGGCGUGGACUGUGCCCAAGCCUGCAGCUGUCACGAUGACUCGUGCGACCCGGUCACCGGGGCCUGCCGCCUGGGUGAGAGGGGUCCCCUUAUGGGGGUGUGGAGUGGGGAGGGGUUUGGCACCCGCGUUGACCCCCUUGAUGCCACACACACACACCCGCAGAGACCAACCAGCGCAAGGGCGUGAUGGGCGCCGGGGCGCUGCUCGCCCUGCUUCUGGGCCUGCUGCUCUCGCUGCUCGGGUGCUGCUGCGCGUGCCGAGGAAAGGACCCCGCGCGCCGGGAGCUGGGGCUCGGCAAGAAGAAGGCGCCGCAGAGGCUCUGCGGGCGUUUCAGCCGUAUCGGCAUGAAGCUACCCCGCAUCCCGCUCCGCCGGCAGAAGCUGCCCAAGGUCGUAGUGGCCCACCACGACCUGGAGACUACGCUCAACUGCAGUUUCCUGGAGCCGCCGUCGGGGCUGGAGCAGCCCUCGCCCUCGUGGUCCUCCCGGGCCUCCUUCUCCUCCUUCGACACCAACGAUGAAGGCCCCGUGUACUGUGUACCCCAUGAGGGUGAGUCAGGCCUUGCUCCUGCCCAGGGUUCAGGAGGCAGUCCAGUGUUCCCCCUUUGAAAGAUCUCUAGGUGGGCUGCUAGGGGACAGAUGCUGUUAACGCACAGACAGGCGCCGAGCUGCGUUUUGUGUUGCCCAGGGCUGGGUGGGAUCUCGGUCUGGGGAGAUGGGUUCAUCGGGCUCUCUUGUCUCCAACCAUAGCCCAGGCUCAUUUCUGGGGGAGACCAGGCAGAAGGUUCUGAGGCUGGGUGGAGAUGCGGGUGUCCACAGGAUAUGAAGGCACCCCUGGGCUUGAAGCGUCUCUCUCCCCCAAACCAUGCUCCUAGGUGAUCAACCUCGGAGC
rnacentral:lncRNA from 1 species